AUGGUGAAAGAGAUUGUGGAGAAACAACAGCAACAGCAGCCUGUUACAAAGAGGACACGGAACUGUCUUGCUUGUGGCCAGCCAAAGUCACGUUACCUUGGUGAUGGGUCCUCCAUUCAUUUUUUUUAUCAGUCUGGGGAUGUGAAGUACUUUUACUGCUCUACAAAGGUACACCAGAUGUAUGCAGCGGAAGGCCUCACCAAUCCUCGAAUGCCAUUUGCUGACUUUGCUGAAACACCUUUUUUUAAACGAGAGCUACAGGCCGCAAAGCAGCGUUCUGCAGAGACAAGACAGGUAAUAGAGGAGCGGAGAAAGAGAAAGUCCAUGGAGCAGCAUCCCACUGGUCGCCUCUGUAGGUUCUGCCACAAGCCACUAAAACAAGGCCCAGAGAGUCCACACAUACACACUGGGUUCCCUGGUGUGGCAGGGAAAUAUGUCUAUUGUCCUGCCAGAGUGUUUUCCUUAUAUCAGACAGAGGGGAUGACUCACGAGAUGAUUUGGGGAGAGUUCUGUCAGUCUUCCUUUUAUGAGACUGAAAGGAAGAGAUGGGCAGCAGAAAAGGGAAAGUGACUGCCCUCAUGUUUCCUGGUUUUAAAUGAAUGUUUAGAUGAAGCAUCCUCUGUCAAGACCCAUCCUCCGCAGAGUAGGUCACCCUAAAGACGGUCUCAGUCCACCAAAACAUCACACCAGACACUUUGACAGCGGAGGAUCAAAGGUCAGAAGGGUUUCUUCCAGAUGCAGAACACCACACCAUCGGCCAUAACUGCGUCCCUCGUUCAGCUCACACUGGACCCCUCAGAACGGCUGGUCUUCGUGUUGGACCAUAGAUGGACAGAUCUGCUGAGAAUUGCCCGUGAAGAUCUCUUGGCAACGCACCAUAGGA